CCUACGGGAGGCAGCAGUGGGGAAUAUUGGGCAAUGGGGGAAACUCUGACCCAGCGACGCCGCGUGCGGGAUGAAGGCCUUCGGGUUGUAAACCGCUUUCAGUAGGGAAGAAGCGAAAGUGACGGUACCUACAAAAGAAGCACCGGCUAACUAUGUGCCAGCAGCCGCGGUAAUACAUAGGGUGCAAGCGUUGUCCGGAAUUAUUGGGCGUAAAGAGCUCGUAGGUCGUUUGCUACGUCGGAUGUGAAAACCUGAGGCUCAACCUCAGGCCUGCAUUCGAUACGGGCAAACUAGAGUUUGGUAGGGGAGACUGGAAUUCCUGGUGUAGCGGUGGAAUGCGCAGAUAUCAGGAGGAACACCAAUGGCGAAGGCAGGUCUCUGGGCCAAUACUGACACUGAGGAGCGAAAGUCUGGGGAGCGAACAGGAUUAGAUGCCCUGGUAGUCCAGACCGUAAACGGUGGGCACUAGUUGUGGGAACCUUCCACGGUUUCUGCGACGCAGCUAACGCAUUAAGUGCCCCGCCUGGGGAGUACGAUCGCAAGNUUAAAACUCAAAGGAAUUGACGG
rnacentral:rRNA from 1 species